CGCAUAUUGCGCCCCCUGGUAUGCCUAGGGGCAUGCCUGUUCGAGCGUCAUUAUCACCUCUCAAGCUCUGGCUUGGUGUUGGACCAAUAGUUGUGGCCCGUCCGCAACUAGUCCCAAAGAUAGUGACGGCGUCCCAGAGGGAACCGGUACGAGGAGCUUUCUCUUAAGCAUGUACGGGGAAGACUCUGUGGGCGACGGUCUUUUUUAUAACUUCUUUAAGUGUUGACCUCGGAUCAGGUAGGAAUACCCGCUGAACUUAA
rnacentral:misc_RNA from 1 species